rnacentral:rRNA from 1 species
AUUGAACGCUGGCGGCAGGCCUAACACAUGCAAGUCGAGCGGAUGAAGGGAGCUUGCUCCUGGAUUCAUCGGCGGACGGGUGAGUAAUGCCUAUGAAUCUGCCUGUUAGUGGGGGAUAACGUCCGGAAACGGGCGCUAAUACCGCAUACGUCCUGAGGGAGAAAGUGGGGGAUCUUCGGACCUCACGCUAUCAGAUUAGCCUAGGUCGGAUUAGCUAGUUGGUGGGGUAAAGGCCUACCAAGGCGACGAUCCGUAACUGGUCUGAGAGGAUGAUCAGUCACACUGGAAAUGAGAAAAGGUCCAGACUCCUAAGGGAGGCAGCAGGGGGGAAUAUUGGACAAUGGGCGAAAGCCUGAUCCAGCCAUGCCGCGUGUGUGAAGAAGGUCUUCGGAUUGUAAAGCACUUUAAGUUGGGAGGAAGGGCAGUAAGUUAAUAACUUGCUGUUUUGACGUUACCAACAGAAUAAGCACCGGCUAAAUUCGUG